GUACUUACCUAGACAGGGUCGAUGGGUGAUCAAGAAAGCCCAUGGUCUAGGGUGGCAACCUCCAUUGUACUUGCGAGGGGCGUGGCCUAAGGUCUGCCCAAGUGGCAGAGCCUAUGUCAUAAUUUAUUGUAGUGGGGACCUGCAUUCCCAUUGCCCCUGA